CUCAAAGAAAUUGACGGAAAGCCCGCACAAGCGGUGGAUGAUGUGGAUUAAUUCGAUGCAACGCGAAAAACCUUACCUACCCUUGACAUGUCUGGAAUUCCGAAGAGAUUUGGAAGUGCUCGCAAGAGAACCGGAACACAGGUGCUGCAUGGCUGUCGUCAGCUCGUGUCGUGAGAUGUUGGGUUAAGUCCCGCAACGAGCGCAACCCUUGUCAUUAGUCGCUACGAAAGGGCACUCUAAUGAGACUGCCGGUGACAAACCGGAGGAAGGUGGGGAUGACGUCAAGUCCUCAUGGCCCUUAUGGGUAGGGCUUCACACGUCAUACAAUGGUCGGGACAGAGGGUCGCCAACCCGCGAGGGGGAGCCAAUCCCAGAAACCCGAUCGUAGUCCGGAUCGCAGUCUGCAACUCGACUGCGUGAAGUCGGAAUCGCUAGUAAUCGCGGAUCAGCAUGUCGCGGUGAAUACGUUCCCGCGCUUGCACACACCGCCCG
rnacentral:rRNA from 1 species